GACGUAGGGUGCGAGCGUUGUCCGGAUUUAUUGGGCGUAAAGAGCUCGUAGGCGGCUCGUCGCGUCAGCUGUGAAAACCAGCAGCUUAACUGUUGGCUUGCAGCUGAUACGGGCGGGCUAGAGUUCGGUAGGGGAGACUGGAAUUCCUGGUGUAGCGGUGAAAUGCGCAGAUAUCAGGAGGAACACCGGUGGCGAAGGCGGCAUCCUGGCCCUGACCUGACGCUGAGGCGCGAGAGCGUGGGGAGCAAACGGG
rnacentral:rRNA from 1 species